AAAUUUUAAUUUUUCCCUCAUUUUCCAUCUUUUUUUUCUUCUGUUUUUUUAACCUCCCUUUUCUCGUAUGACGUUUAUUUUAUCUUCAUUUCUCCUUAUAUCUUCAAUCUCUAAGGAAUAAUUCUUUUUUUUUCAAAUUCCUUUUCUCCGGUUCCUCUACUUAGGGUGGAUCAUCCAAUUAGUACUUGUUUUUCCUCUUUCAUUCUUGACUUUUUAACAUUGUUCUUCACUCCCCCAAUUUCUAAAACCCUAGGUCAAUGGUUACAAUCCCCUGUCUUGUUCAAAAAAUUUGUUCUUAUGUUUCAGAAUUGUGUUUGCUCUAGUAUCUGCUUCAGAAGAUUACAACUACUUUGCGUGGGUUCGCUGUUGCUUCAGGGGUUCACGGCUGGUUUACUGGUGCUUCACAACGACAGCUGCUUCACUAGUUUUGUUUUUCACUCAGUUUGUAGUGGUUUCACGAGUUCACGGGGCAGUGCUUCUCUAGUUUGCUGGUGCUUCACGGGGGACAACUACUUCACCGAUUUUGUUGCUUCGUCCAUUAUUAUGUGCAGUCUCAUAUUCAAAUUAAUGUAUAUUGUGAUUGUGUAAUAUUGGUGGGCAUUUCACUUUGAAAUCCUCUUAGAUUCUUAAUUUUUUAUUAACCUGUUAAUUUAGCUUCUGCCUUCUUGUUUGUUUUGACUAUGCUUGUAGCCUUCUGCAUCAAAGAAGCAUUGACAUUUUAUUACCACAUGUAUAAAAGUUUUGGAUAUGAUUUGUCUAAAGUUGUCAGCCCUGAAUCAGAUCAAGGUACUUUCUAAUUCAUACAGAUACCUUGUCAUCAAAAUGAAUACAGAUGAAGGUACAUCAAAAUGCAUAAAAACUUUCCAGGUCUUAUUAUAUCGUUGAGUUGUCUUUCAUGUUGAUGUAGUUGUUAACUAUAAUAUCAUCCAUUGAUUAUCUGAACUACUCUGAGAAAACAAAUACUUAUUACAUUGUAAAUGCCCUAUACUAUUUUCACCCUGUUGAAAGGUAUUCCUUCUGACUUUCUUUUCUGUAGAUAGUUUUGUUCAUUAUAUUAGUUUAAGUUAUGCACCUAGCGAUAAUGCUUAACAUUUUGCAUUGGCAGGUUGAGAAGCUACUUCUGCGAGAGAACAAGAAGAAAAGGCUUGCCGGGAUGUGGGUGAGAUGAAUUGUUGAAGCUUUAGAGAAGCCCUGGAUCUUGUUAAGGAGGCCAUUAGCAGAAUUGGUUAUAAUGACAAGAUAAAAAUAGUUCUUGAUGUUGUUGCUAUAAAUUUUUGCAUAGUCAACUCUCAUGUUUCUGGAAAAGUGACUGGAGUGAGUGAAAGCUUAGUAGCUCUCCAGCUUUGGUAGCAUUCAUUGGAAAUUAUAGUGAGUACUUUGGUAUGGCAACUGAUUUUGAUGUUGUGGUUUACUAGAUGCUGGCUAAUGAUCUCAUUCAUGGACUCUUCCUAGCUCUUUCAUGGCCUUCCCAAAUAUGAUCAUCAUGAUUGAAAAUGAAAAAGCAUGAUCAUCAUGAUUGAUAUCGCAUUAGAAUAAUGUUAUUAAUUUUUUGUUAUGUCUAUUUUUCUGAUUUAAAACAAAUAACAUUGUAAUGAGUUGCUAAUUUUAACUUUUACUUUUUGUCAUUUAUAUUGUUUGAUAUUAAAAUUGUAGACUUUAUUCUUUGAUCCAUUUAUAAAGGUUAUAUGUACAAA